rnacentral:rRNA from 1 species
UACAGAGGUCUCAAGCGUUGUUCGGAUUCAUUGGGCGUAAAGGGUGUGUAGGUGGCGCCGUAAGUCGGGUGUGAAAUUUCGGAGCUUAACUCCGAAACUGCAUUCGAUACUGCGGUGCUUGAGGACUGGAGAGGAGACUGGAAUUCAUGGUGUAGCAGUGAAAUGCGUAGAGAUUAUGAGGAAGACCAGUGGCGAAGGCGGGUCUCUGGACAGUUCCUGACGCUGAGGCACGAAGGCCAGGGGAGCAAACGGG